rnacentral:tRNA from 1 species
GGGAGAGUGGCCGAGUGAUUGAAAGCGACAGACUGUAAAUCCGCUGAAGGUUUUCUACGGUCGAAUCCUGCCUUUCCCA